GACGAAGGGGGCUAGCGUUGUUCGGAAUUACUGGGCGUAAAGCGUGCGUAGACGGUUAUUUAAGUCGGAUGUGAAAGCCCCGGGCUCAACCUGGGAAUUGCAUUCGAGACUGAAUAGCUAGGGUACGGUAGAGGGAAGUGGAAUUUCCGGUGUAGCGGUGAAAUGCGUAGAUAUCGGAAGGAACAUCAGUGGCGAAAGCGACUUCCUGGACCAGUACCGACGUUCAGGCACGAAAGCGUGGGGAGCAAACAGG
rnacentral:rRNA from 1 species